GACGAACGCUGGCGGCGUGCUUAACACAUGCAAGUCUGGGGGCGGGGCGACCCGUCCCCGGCGACCGGGUGCGGAACACGUGAGCGACCUGCCCUGUGUGUGGGGGAUAGCCGGCCCAACGGCCGGGUAAUACCGCAUACGUCCCGCGCUUGGAGGCGCUGGGAGAAAGCCCGGAAGGGCGCACGAGGAGGGUCUCGCGGCCUAUCAGCUAGUUGGGGGGGUAACGGCCCAACAAGGCGACGACGGGUAGCUGGUCUGAGAGGAUGUCCAGCCACAUUGGGACGGAGAGACGGCCCAGACUCGGACGGGAGGCAGCAGUGGGGAAUCUGGCGCAAUGGGCGAAAGCGUGACGCAGCGACGCCGCGGGGAGGAUGAGGCCCUUCGGGGUGUAAACUCCUGUGGCUCGGGACGAACGGCGGGCAUCGGCCCGCUUGACGGUACCGGGUGAGGAAGCACCGGCUAACUCUGUG
rnacentral:rRNA from 1 species